GCUUCAUCCCGGCGCGCUACAACAGCUCUCGCGCCAAGUGCAUCAAGUGUAGCUACUGCAACAUGUACUUCUCACCCAACAAGUUCAUUUUCCACUCCCACCGCACCCCGGACGCCAAGUACACGCAGCCAGACGCAGCCAACUUUAAUUCCUGGCGCCGCCAUCUCAAGCUCACAGACAAGAGCCCUCAGGACGAGCUAGUCUUCGCCUGGGAGGACGUCAAGGCCAUGUUCAACGGUGGCAGCCGCAAGCGCGCGCUACCUCAACCCAGCGCGCAUCCGGCCUGUCACCCACUCAGUUCAGUCAAGGCUGCUGCGGUGGCGGCCG
rnacentral:lncRNA from 1 species